GUGCUCGCUUUGGCAGCACAUAUACUAAAAUUGGGACUUUACAGAGAAGAUUAAUAUGGCCCCUGCACAAGGAUGACAUGCAAAUUUGGGAAGUGUUCAAUAUUUUU
rnacentral:snRNA from 1 species